GUGUUCACUUUGGCAGCACAUAUACUAAAAUCAGAAUGAUACAGAGAAGAUUAGCACGGCCCUGCGCAAGGAUGACAUGCAAAUUCAGGAAGCAUUUCAUAUUUUA
ensembl:snRNA U6 U6 spliceosomal RNA